rnacentral:rRNA from 1 species
GACGAACCGUGCGAACGUUAUUCGGAAUCACUGGGCUUAAAGCGCGUGUAGGCGGGACGGCACGUCGGUCGCUGAAAUCCCCCGGCUCAACUGGGGAGGGUCACGCGAUACUGAUCGACUCGAAGGCAGGAGAGGGUAGUGGAAUUCCCGGUGUAGUGGUGAAAUGCGUAGAUAUCGGGAGGAACACCGGUGGCGAAGGCGGCGACCUGGGUCGAUACUGACGCUGAGGUGCGAAAGCGUGGGGAGCAAACAGG